CACGUAGGGGGCAAGCGUUGUCCGGAUUUAUUGGGCGUAAAGAGCUCGUAGGUGGUUCGGUAAGUCAGGUGUGAAACCUCCAGGCUCAACCUGGAGACGCCACUUGAUACUGCUGUGACUGGAGUCCGGUAGGGGAGCGUGGAAUUCCUGGUGUAGCGGUGAAAUGCGCAGAUAUCAGGAGGAACACCAAUGGCGAAGGCAGCACUCUGGGACGUGACUGACGCUGAGACGCGAAAGCGUGGGUAGCAAACAGG
rnacentral:rRNA from 1 species